GAAACAGGGCUUAUUGGCACAGGGAAGGACUACUUGGUGGUCAGCUGUCCUUGAAACAAGUCUGACUGAAAAGGCUGGAAGCACUUGCAGAGCUCUUACAAAACUGGAUUCUAGAUGACCUGCAGCAGAAAACACAGAAUUUGGCAGAGUACUAUGGGAUAAAGCCCUGGAGGGAAGAGGGGCCCAAGAAAGAUGGUUAAUAUUCAAGGAUCACCUCCUCUAAUCUCAGGAGAGAUGCAUCCCAACAAAGAGGAAGUCAGGCAAAAACACCAGGCCUGCGUGGAUGAACAAGGACCUCCUGGACGAUCUCAAACAGAAAAAGGAAGCCUACAGAGGGUGGAGGCAAGGACAGAUAGCCUGGGAGAAAUACAGACAAAUUGCUCUGGUUCAGAAAAUAUUUUUGGGGGCAGAAAGAAAUCUUGUUCAUCCUCCUCCCCUCCACCCCUUCCAUUUGCGGGUCCAGCUACCGAGUGGAGCCUACUCACAAGAUGUCAGUGUGUAUCAAGCAGAUGUUCACUGGCAAGAGAAAAUCAAUGUCUGGCAUGCAGUUAUAUUGUGUUUUCAGACUGCACUGUGCACACUUACUUGAAAAGCAAUGUUUUGUGUCACUAUAUCUGUAUUUCAU